rnacentral:tRNA from 2 species
GAUCGUGUAGCUGAAAAGGGAUAUAGCACGACUGUAAUUUAUCUGCGAUUAUUUACAGUCGAGGUUACAAGUUCGAAUCUUGUCACGAUCCCCA